rnacentral:rRNA from 1 species
AUCUACAGCCGUGCUACCCUAAAUGCAACGACCUCUUUUAACCUCAGAAGCUAAGCAGGGUCAGGCCUGGUUAGUACUUGGGUGGGAGACAACCUGGGAAUAAUGGGUAUUUUGGCUU